UACGUAGGGGGCAAGCGUUGUCCGGAUUUAUUGGGCGUAAAGAGCGUGUAGGCGGCCAGGUAGGUCCGUUGUGAAAACUCGAGGCUCAACCUCGAGACGUCGAUGGAAACCAUCUGGCUAGAGUCCGGAAGAGGAGAGUGGAAUUCCUGGUGUAGCGGUGAAAUGCGCAGAUAUCAGGAAGAACACCCGUGGCGAAGGCGGCUCUCUGGGCCACUACUGACGCUGAGAAGCGAAAGCAUGGGGAGCGAACAGG
rnacentral:rRNA from 1 species